ensembl:lncRNA
GGAGACCAAGGAGGUGACGCCACCGAAGAGACGUCACCACCGAGGAGGCCAAAGGUGAGGCCCCCGGGGAGGUGAGGCCAUCAAGGAGGCCACCGAGGAGGUGACACCACCGAGGAGGCCAAGGGGUGAGGCCACCGAGCGGGCGAGGCCGUCAGGGAGGCCGCCAAGGAGGUGACACCACCGAGGAGACCGAGGAGGUGACACCACCGAGGAGGCCAGGGAGGCGAGGCCGCCAAGGAGGUGACGCCACCGAGGAGGUCAAGGGGUGAGGCCGCCAGGGAGGCCGCCGAGGAGGUGACGCCACCAAGGAGGCCAAGGGGCGAGGCCACCGGGGAGGCGCCGCCAGCGAGGCCAGGCCGAGGCGGAUUUGGAGGCCGCCGAGGCGAACUGGAGGCCGUUGGAGGGGGGGAGGCCGCGGGGAAGGGAGGCCGCGGGCGCCCCCUAGAUGCGGAAGCUCUCCCCCUUGCCGUCGAUGUGGCGCAGGCGCAGGUAGACGUCGGUGCCCACGCCCUGCAGCGACUGGAGGCACAGCGAGCCCCCCAAGUACUCGGCGUAGGCGCGCGAGGUCGGCAGCCCGAAGCCGAACCUGGAGGCCGGGGAAGAGGGAGAAACGUCGGGCGGGGGGGGAGGGGAAUCGGGGGGAUUUGGGGGCGUCCCCCAGGGGGGUCGGGGUGACCCCGUACCCGUGCAUGGGGCAGGCCUGGGCGCCGUGGCUGAGGUCGAGGAGGUUGCGGAAGGGGCCUCCCAAGCGGGGGUCCUGGGCGCUGGCCUCGGCCGUGCUGAAGUGGUACUCGGUCACCUUGUCCAGGAGGUCGUGGGGGAUGCCCCCGCCCCGGUCCGAGAUCCUAUAUAGGGGACGGGGACGUAAAGGGAAAGGGGGAGGGGGGGGCAGCCUCCGCGGAGGAGGCCCUGAAAGGAUGGGGGCGGCCCGAGAGAGGGGGAAGGUCCUGUGGGGGCGGGGAGCGCCCUAUAGGUGCCGUGGGGGAAGGUCCUAUAGGGACGAGGACACUGUGGGAAUAUCCUAUAGGUGCCAUGGGGGAAGGUCCUAUAGGAACAGCAACGCUGUGGGAAUGUUCUAUAGGUGCCGUGGGGCAAGGUCCUAUAGGGACAGGGAUGCUGUGGGAAUAUCCUAUAGGUGCCGUGGGGGAAGGUCCUAUAGGGACAGGGACACUGUGGGAAUAUCCUAUAGGUAUCAUGGGGGAAAGUCCUAUAGGGACAGGGAUGCUGUGCAAAUAUCCUAUAGGUGCCAUGGGAGAAGGUCCUAUAGGGACAGGGGCGCUGUGGGAAUAUCCUAUAGGUGCCGUGGGGGAGGGUCCUAUAGGGACAGGGAUGCUAUGGGAAUAUCCUAUAGGUGCCAUGGGGAACAUCCUAUGGGGAAGGUCCUAUAGGGACAGGGAAGCUGUGGGGAAUGUUCUAUAGGUGCCAGGGGGGAAUGUCCUAUGGGGAUGGGAAUGCUGUGGGAAUAUCCUAUAGGUGCCAUGGGGGAACAUCCUAUGGGGACAAGGAUGCCAUGGGGAAAAGUCCUAUAGGUGCCAUAGGGAACGUCCUAUGGGGAUAAGAAAGCCACUGGGAAGGAACAUCCUAUAGGGACGCCAUGGGGAAUGUCCUAUAGGGGUACCAUGAGAAAUGUCCUAUAGGGAUCCCAUGGGAAACGUCCUAUAGGAACGCCACAGGGAACAUCCUAUAGAAGUGCCAUGGGGGACAUCCCAUAGGGACCCGCCGUAGACCCCUAUGGAUGUGGGGCGCCAUGGGGAAGAUCCUAUACGGGACCACCACAAAGAACAUCCCGUGGGACAUCACGGAGAACAUCCUAUAGGGACCAGGACACCAUGGAGAACAUCCUAUAGGGCCCCCAUGGAGAACAUCCUAUAGGGCCACCAUAAAGAACAUCCUAUAGGGACCCCCUACGGCUGUGGGGUGCCACGGAGAACGUCCCGUAUAGGGACACGGGGACUUCCCUGCGGACCCCCUAUAGGUGGGGACACCCUGGGGACCUUUAUGGACACGGGGACCCCCCGGGGACUCCCCCGGUCGACGAGGGCACCUCGGGGGGGUGCCUAUAGGCGGUGGGACGUUAUGGACAGCCCCUAUGGGACCCAGGUACCGGAUGACGAUGUCGAUGUCGUUGUUGGCGAUGGUGACGACGAUGUCGGGGACGUUGUAGGGCGUGUCGAGGUGCGACUCCAUCGUGGCCCUGCCGCAGCCCCACACGGUGGUGGCCCCUAUACAUCCCCCGGGGCCCCUAUACAUCCCCCGGGGCCCCUAUACGUCCCCCCGGCCCUAUACGUCCCCCUGGCCCUAUAUGUCCCCCAGGGCCCCAUGGGCCUCCCUUCUGGUCCUAUAUACCGCCCCCUGCCCCAUGUCCCUCCCACAGCCCCGUAUGGCCCC